UUUAGGAAACAGAUGUACUAAUAACCGAAAUAAACUUCGUAUCGCAUGAUACAAGGUUAAAGGCGCUACGGCGUCACCUAGAGAUGGAUCCGCGGUGCAUUAGUUAGUUGGUGGGUAAAGGCCUACCAAGACAAUGAUGCAUAGCCGAGUUGAGAGACUGAUCGGCCACAUUGGGACUGAGACACGGCCCAAACUCCUACGGGAGGCUGCAGUAGGGAAUCUUCCACAAUGGGCGAAAGCCUGAUGGAGCAACGCCGCGUGUGUGAUGAAGGCUUUCGGGUCGUAAAGCACUGUUGUAUGGGAAGAACAGCUAGAGUAGGGAAUGACUUUAGUUUGACGGUACCAUACCAGAAAGGGACGGCUAAAUACGUG
rnacentral:rRNA from 1 species